UGUGUCCACCUCCUACAUGCUACCAGGAUCUGUGUGACCAAUGACAUAUGGUAGAAAUGAUGGGAUGUUACUUCCAAGAUUGAGCUAUAAAAGACUGCAGUUUCCAUCUUGGGUGCUUUCUCAUUCGUUCUCUCUCUUGGAUUACUCUCUCUGGGGGAAGCCAGCUGUCAUGUUUUGAGGUCACUCUAACAGCCUGUGGAGAUGCUCACAUGGUGAGGAAUAGGGACCUGCCUCCAACAGCCAGCAAGAAAUUGAGGCUUGCCAAUAAUCAGUUGAGUGAUAAUUCACCUUAUAGACCAUUCCUGAGGUGAUUGUAACACGUGGGAGAAUUGAGCCUAUCAUGGGAAUGAACACACAAGCAGUGGGUCAGUGUGAAUCACCACAGAAAGCUGAGGCUGCAUUUCAAACUCCAGCAACACCACAAGCUCCUGAAAUGAAGACUCCCAAGUUUCCUGAUUGUCUAACUGGUUAGAGUCAAAGGUCACAUUAUUCUGAAGAAGAUAUGAAUAAGCCUGGCAUUCAUCUGUUUCCUUCAUUUGAAUCAAGUCAGUCAGUUGCUCAUGGAACUCAACCUCGAGUCUCUCAGAUCCCCAGCCCAACCAUGGGCUGUGAGACCUGAGUGCCUCUUUCACAUCCAACAACAUAUAAAUGACAACGACAUAUGACCAGACCAUCCUGAGCCUGGUGUCUCUCCUCAUAGGCCUGCCUUUCAUGAGCAUGCCUGGGGAGAGAUGACUAAUGCUGUUUCUCCAGUUUUGUCCUCUUCUGGGUCAUGGGAAUGAUUUAUUCUUACUCAGCAAACCAGUAAUUGUGUGUUAUAUGUGAGUGGUAAGAUUCUUAAGGAGAUGUGGAAUCUGACUGCCUGAUGUGAUUCUCAAAUGGCCCCAACAUUUUACACAAUUGUUUGUAAUUAAAUAAAACCCAAAUUACAUUUGGGAUGAGAAAUGUAUUUUUUAACUUCUUUUGUGUUUGGAAGGACAAGCAAUUACCAUGGCUGUUUCUGAUUCAUUUACACUUAGCUCCUAAAAAU
rnacentral:lncRNA from 10 species